rnacentral:lncRNA from 1 species
GGAUGAUGGACUAUGAUGGACUAAUAUAAGAUGGAAAUCAGAUUUGUCCACCUUUGUUUAAAAAUGUUAUGGUUUCCCAUGAUGAAAAACAGUAGUUUGCAGGUUGCAGGAUAGGAUCAAACUAAAAGGGAGUUUGCUGGAUUCACAAUCUAGGAUCUGACAUUAACUACAGCUUAUGAAAUUUAUACUUCAUAGGAAUAUUAGAAAUUAGUGAUGCUAGAAGUUCAGAAAUACUGGCCCCUGCAUACCUAUGCUAGCCUGAAGGAAGCUCCCACUUGUAUUGCCUCUUGCUGAUGCAUACUACCACCUGCCAUGGCUCCCCUCCACAUAUAAGAACAUU